rnacentral:rRNA from 1 species
UACGUAGGGUGCGAGCGUUGUCCGGAAUUAUUGGGCGUAAAGAGCUCGUAGGCGGUCUGUCGCAUCUGCUGUGAAAUCCCGAGGCUCAACCUCGGGCCUGCAGUGGGUACGGGCAGACUAGAGUGCGGUAGGGGAGAUUGGAAUUCCUGGUGUAGCGGUGGAAUGCGUAGAUAUCAGGGAGGAACACCGGUGGCGAAGGCGGCUCUCGUGGACGGUGACUGACGCUGAGAGACGAA